rnacentral:tRNA from 2 species
GCGAUAGUAGCUCAGUAGGUUAGAGCGCUGGAUUGUGGUUCCAGAGGUCGAGGGUUCGAGACCCUUCUAUCGCC